rnacentral:rRNA from 1 species
UUUUUUGUGGAGAGUUUGAUCCUGGCUCAGGACGAACGCUGGCGGCGUGCUUAACACAUGCAAGUCGAACGGAAAGGCCCAAGCUUGCUUGGGUACUCGAGUGGCGAACGGGUGAGUAACACGUGGGUGAUCUACCCUGAACUCUGGGAUAAGCCUGGGAAACUGGGUCUAAUACCGGAUAGGACCGCACUUUAGUGUGUGUGGUGGAAAGUUUUUUCGGUUCAGGAUGAGCCCGCGGCCUAUCAGCUUGUUGGUGGGGUAAUGGCCUACCAAGGCGUCGACGGGUAGCCGGCCUGAGAGGGUGUACGGCCACAUUGGGACUGAGACACGGCCCAGACUCCUACGGGAGGCAGCAGUGGGGAAUAUUGCACAAUGGGCGCAAGCCUGAUGCAGCGACGCCGCGUGAGGGAUGACGGCCUUCGGGUUGUAAACCUCUUUCGCGAGGGACGAAGCUAGCUUGCUAGUGACUGUACCUUGAUAAGAAGCACCGGCUAACUACGUGCCAGCAGCCGCGGUAAUACGUAGGGUGCGAGCGUUGUCCGGAAUUACUGGGCGUAAAGAGCUCGUAGGUGGUUUGUCGCGUCGUCUGUGAAAUUCCGGGGCUUAACUCCGGGCGUGCAGGCGAUACGGGCAUAACUUGAGUGCUGUAGGGGAGACUGGAACUCCUGGUGUAGCGGUGAAAUGCGCAGAUAUCAGGAAGAACACCGAUGGCGAAGGCAGGUCUCUGGGCAGUAACUGACGCUGAGGAGCGAAAGCAUGGGUAGCGAACAGGAUUAGAUACCCUGGUAGUCCAUGCCGUAAACGGUGGGCGCUAGGUGUAGGGACCUUCCACGGUUUCUGUGCCGUAGCUAACGCAUUAAGCGCCCCGCCUGGGGAGUACGGCCGCAAGGCUAAAACUCAAAGGAAUUGACGGGGGCCCGCACAAGCGGCGGAGCAUGUGGAUUAAUUCGAUGCAACGCGAAGAACCUUACCUGGGCUUGACAUAUACAGGAUCGCUGCAGAGAUGUAGUUUCCCUUGUGGCUUGUAUACAGGUGGUGCAUGGUUGUCGUCAGCUCGUGUCGUGAGAUGUUGGGUUAAGUCCCGCAACGAGCGCAACCCUUGUCUUAUGUUGCCAGCACGUGAUGGUGGGGACUCAUGAGAGACUGCCGGGGUCAACUCGGAGGAAGGUGGGGAUGACGUCAAAUCAUCAUGCCCCUUAUGUCCAGGGCUUCACACAUGCUACAAUGGUCGGUACAACGCGUCGCGAGCCUGUGAGGGUGAGCUAAUCGCUGAAAGCCGGCCUCAGUUCGGAUUGGGGUCUGCAACUCGACCCCAUGAAGUCGGAGUCGCUAGUAAUCGCAGAUCAGCAACGCUGCGGUGAAUACGUUCCCGGGCCUUGUACACACCGCCCGUCACGUCAUGAAAGUUGGUAACACCCGAAGCCAGUGGCCCAACCCUUGUGGGGGGAGCUGUCGAAGGUGGGAUCGGCGAUUGGGACGAAGUCGUAACAAGGUAGCCGUACCGGAAGGUGCGGCUGGAUCACCUCCUUUCUAAGGAG